rnacentral:rRNA from 1 species
UACAGAGGUCCCAAGCGUUGUUCGGAUUCACUGGGCGUAAAGGGUGCGUAGGCGGUCGGGUAAGUCUGAUGUGAAAUCUCCGGGCUCAACCCGGAAAUGGCAUUGGAAACUACCUUGCUGGAGGAUUUGAGGGGGGAUUGGAAUACUUGGUGUAGCAGUGAAAUGCGUAGAUAUCAAGUGGAACACCAGUGGCGAAGGCGAAUCCCUGGAAAAUACCUGACACUGAGGCACGAAAGCUAGGGGAGCAAACAGG